AUGAAAGAAGUAGAUAAUCUCGAAAGUAUAAAAGAAGAAUGGGUUUGUGAAACAGGAUCUGACAACCAACCUCUUAAUGAUGAUCAACAAAGAAAUUGUGAAUAUUUUGUUGACAGCCUUUUUGAGGAAGCUGAGAAGGUUGGUGCCAAAUGCAUGUCUCCCACUGAACAGAAAAAACAGGGAAUUACCUUUGGAAUUACAGGGAAUUUUUGAUAAAGAGGAGGUGGAUGUUAAAGUUGAAGACAAAAAAAAUGAAGUAUGUAUGUCAACGAAGCCUGUGUUCCAGCCCUUCUCAGGACAGGGUCACAGUCUAGGAAGUGCCACACCAAAAAUUGUUUCUAAGGCAAAGAGUACUGAAGUUGAGAAUAAAAAUAAUUUGUCUGUUCAACUAAACAAUCUGGAACCCAUCACUAAUGUACAGAUCUGGUUAGCCAAUGGAAAAAGGAUUGUCCAGAAAUUUAAUAUUUCUCAUAGGAUAAGCCACAUCAAAGACUUCAUCGAAAAAUACCAAGGAUCUCAAAGAAGUCCUCCCUUUUCCCUGGCCACAGCUCUUCCUUUCCUCAAAUUGCUAGAUGAAACACUCACAUUGGAAGAAGCAGAUUUACAGAAUGCUGUAGUAAUUCAGAGACUCCAAAAAACCGCUGAACCUUUUAGAGAACUUUCAUAACAUUGAUUUUUGAUACACUAAGUGGAAAGUUUGAAGAGAAAUGAUGGUUGUAAAUGAACAUGCAAACCAAAAUGAGGGAAAGGAAGUCAGAUUCGCCGGACUUUUAGUUCGGGCAUGAUUUAACUCCCUCCUGAUGAGAAGAUUUUUAAAUAAGUACAAGUUAGGAAAGUGAACUAUGACUGGAAACUAUAUUCAAUGCACUUUUUCCAAAAGACUACUCAGAAAGAAAACUAUACUUAUUUUCAAAUACCAGUUAUUCAGCAAUAAGAUAUAUUAAAUCACUGUAUCAUAUAGAAUCUUAAUGUGGUAUAAAUUAGCAAAUGUAUUCAUAGCAUCAUUCAUUCAAAUAUUCCCAACCAGCAGUGGUUUGUUUAGAUGUUAGCUGUCUCAGAUUUUUUAAAUAGCAAUAUAUUAAGAAAAUUAUACAUGACAGGUUAAAAAACAUCAAUGUAAUUAUUUUACAUCUGAGAUACAGUCAGAAGGCUAGAAGGAACUUCUUUCACCACAGCUAUGCCUGAACCGCCAAGUGUUCUCCAUUUUUAUUUUCUAAUGGCAAGAUAUACUCAUAUUAUUUUGGCACAGUAUCUAAAAUGUAUUUUAAGGAUAAAAUUGUGCAGCUUAGUACAAUGUCAAUAUUAAUCUGCCUAUUCACAUUUUGACAUUUCAAGAAAUGUAAUUUUUAAAAAUUUCUUUUCUGUCCAGGAACCCGAGUUCAUCCCUUAUUUUUUCUUCUGAAAAUUAAGGAUUUGUUUUUAGCUAUCAUUUUUGAGUAAGCCUUUCAUUUGCUACCAUUCACUUAGAAUCUAAUGCUUGUGUUGGCACAUUGCUAUUUAAUAUUUUUUAAAUGCAUCACAUGAAGUAUGGUUUUCUUUUCCAUAUAUCAGAGUCAACCUGGGUAUACAUUAAAGGAUUAUUUGUUACAUUCUGAUGCCACCAAGGAAAUCAUGUUUUGUAUCUCAAUCUUUUAAUUUGAACUGGUUAGACUUCUGUAUUUCACCAUCAGAUUGAAUUCCCUUGCCUGAAGAUAAGUUUAAGAAGCUUUUUUUUUUUUGCAAAUUAUUUAUUGAAUCUUAUUUAAAGCAAAAU